rnacentral:rRNA from 1 species
CCUACGGGUGGCAGCAGUCGAGAAUCAUUCACAAUGGGGGAAACCCUGAUGGUGCGACGCCGCGUGGGGGAAUGAAGGUCUUCGGAUUGUAAACCCCUGUCAUGUGGGAGCAAAUUAAAAAGAUAGUACCACAAGAGGAAGAGCCGGCUAACUCUGUUCCAGCAGCCGCGGUAAUACAGAGGUCUCAAGCGUUGUUCGGAAUCACUGGGCGUAAAGCGUGCGUAGGCUGUUUCGUAAGUCGUGUGUGAAAGGCGCGGGCUCAACCCGCGGACGGCACCUGAUACUGCGAGACUAGAGUAAGGGAGGGGGAACCGGAAUUCGCGGUGUAGCAGUGAAAUGCGUAGAUAUCGAGAGGAACACUCGUGGCGAAGGCGGGUUCCUGGACAUUAACUGACGCUGAGGCACGAAGGCCAGGGGAGCGAAAGGGAUUAGAUACCCUUGUAGUC